AUUGAACGCUGGCGGCAUGCCUUACACAUGCAAGUCGAACGGUAACAGGUCUUCGGAUGCUGACGAGUGGCGAACGGGUGAGUAAUACAUCGGAACGUGCCUAGUAGUGGGGGAUAACUACUCGAAAGAGUGGCUAAUACCGCAUGAGAUCUACGGAUGAAAGCAGGGGAUCGCAAGACCUUGUGCUACUAGAGCGGCCGAUGGCAGAUUAGGUAGUUGUUGGGAUAAAAGCUUACCAAGCCGACGAUCUGUAGCUGGUCUGAGAGGACGAUCAGCCACACUGGGACUGAGACACGGCCCAGACUCCUACGGGAGGCAGCAGUGGGGAAUUUUGGACAAUGGGCGCAAGCCUGAUCCAGCAAUGCCGCGUGCAGGAUGAAGGCCUUCGGGUUGUAAACUGCUUUUGUACGGAACGAAAAGCCCUGGGUUAAUACCCUGGGGUCAUGACGGUACCGUAAGAAUAAGCACCGGCUAACUACGUGCCAGCAGCCGCCGUAA
rnacentral:rRNA from 1 species